UACGAAGGGGGCUAGCGUUGUCCGGAAUCACUGGGCGUAAAGGGCGCGUAGGUGGUGGCUUAAGCGUGCGGUGAAAGCUCGGAGCUCAACUCCGAGUCGGCCGUGCGAACUGGGCUCACUGGAGCAUAGUAGAGGCAGGUGGAAUUCCGGGUGUAGCGGUGGAAUGCGUAGAGAUCCGGAAGAACACCGGUGGCGAAGGCGGCCUGCUGGGCUAUGGCUGACACUGAGGCGCGACAGCGUGGGGAGCAAACAGG
rnacentral:rRNA from 1 species